GGGCCUCUGGAAGAGUCUGCCA
rnacentral:snRNA from 1 species